GAGUUUGAUCCUGGUCAGAACGAAAAACCCCAACGCAGACGCGACUCAACUACUGCAGUCACUUACUCUCGAUACUCUACUCAUACUUACCUAUCCGUCCUGAGCGUCGCUAUGUUGUGUGGGGAAGAGAGGAGAAAACCGCGCAGCAGAGCAUCAUCAGUAGUACUGCGUAUACUGUGAUGACCGACAAACGCACACGACUCGUGACUGACUGACUACGUCAUGACUGCAUGCAUGCCUGUGCAUGCAGUCAUGCAGUCAUGCCUGACUGACACUGUGACUGAUGCAUGUGGCGGCGUGCCUAAUACAUGCAAGUCGAGCGAAUGGAUUAAGAGUUUGCUCUUAUGAAGUUAGCGGCGGACGGGUGAGUAACACGUGGGUAACCUGCCCAUAAGACUGGGAUAACUCCGGGAAACCGGGGCUAAUACCGGAUAACAUUUUGAACCGCAUGGUUCGAAAUUGAAAGGCGGCUUCGGCUGUCACUUAUGGAUGGACCCGCGUCGCAUUAGCUAGUUGGUGAGGUAAACACGACUUACGUGCAUGCCUGAUGACAUGAUGUGAUGCCGGCUCACCAAGGCAACGAUGCGUAGCCGACCUGAGAGGGUGAUCGGCCACACUGGGACUGAGACACGGCCCAGACUCCUACGGGAGGCAGCAGUAGGGAAUCUUCCGCAAUGGACGAAAGUCUGACGGAGCAACGCCGCGUGAGUGAUGAAGGCUUUCGGGUCGUAAAACUCUGUUGUUAGGGAAGAACAAGUGCUAGUUGAAUAAGCUGGCACCUUGACGGUACCUAACCAGAAAGCCACGGCUAACUACGUGCCAGCAGCCGCGGUAAUACGUAGGUGGCAAGCGUUAUCCGGAAUUACGACUAUGAUGACUGUGCAUGCAUGCAUGCUGCGCUAGCUAUGACUGACAUUGGGCGUAAAGCGCGCGCAGGUGGUUUCUUAAGUCUGAUGUGAAAGCCCACGGCUCAACCGUGGAGGGUCAUUGGAGAGUGCAGAAGAGGAAAGUGGAAUUCCAUGUGUAGCGGUGAAAUGCGUAGAGAUAUGGAGGAACACCAGUGGCGAAAGCGACUUUCUGGUCUGUAACUGACACUGAGGCGCGAAAGCGUGGGGAGCAAACAGGAUUAGAUACCCUGGUAGUCCACGCCGUAAACGAUGAGUGCUAAGUGUUAGAGGGUUUCCGCCCUUUAGUGCUGAAGUUAACGCAUUAAGCACUCCGCCUGGGGAGUA
rnacentral:rRNA from 1 species